rnacentral:lncRNA from 1 species
UUUCGCCUCAGAAAACCCUUUGAGAAAGAAAAGUUAGGGUUUGGGACGUUCUCCCCCCGCUCUCCUCUUUUUCUGAAGAGAAUCCCAUUGAAACCUUGAUCCAAGUCUCCUUUUCCCUUAGUUUCAACUCAGAAAACCCUUAGACAAAGAAAAAGAUGAGUUUUUGAUGUUCUAACCCUAGCCGCCUCCUCCCUUUCCUCUCUUCAUUCUUUUAAUUAAUACCCCCUGUCACCUCCAACACGGCCGUUUCCUGUCCGUGUUGGGGACACGGGCUGGUGUUCCUGGCCGUGUUACUCUCUGUAGUCGUGCUCCCUAAAAGCUUCUUUUUCUUUCCUGUUUGACGCAUCCAACACGGCUGUGUUGGUGGCCGUGUUAGUAACACGGCCAGUGUUGAAUCCAACACGGCCGUGUUAACCUUCCAUAUGGGCAUACUUAGCUCAUUUCGGCAGCUUUGACGUCCAAUUAUGCUCUAAUUCUUUCCUUUAUCAUCCUUUGACCUCUUUUGGACCUAAUGCACACAAACAUACGUNNNNNNNNNNNNNNNNNNNNNNNNNNUAAAAUCAAUCUUAAAAACUCCAUUUAGAUGUGUGUAUUUUAAGCACAUAAAAAAGGUUGCCUAUGCAUUUCCUUUCUAACAAGACUCACACAAACCAUUCCUAGCCUAAAUUUCACACAUGUCUUUCACCAUACCAUGAGACAUCAUAUACUUAAGUGCAUUCAUACUAAAAUGGCCAUGUCUUCUAUGCCAUAAAUCACUUUGAUCAAUCUAAGAAAUUAAGGCUGGCUCAUUGACAUGGUUCAAUUAAUAGGAAAACUAUUAUUACACAUAACUACUUUGGCAAUUUCAGACCCAUGAGCAUCAUAAAUAAGUCAAUAGUUAUCCUGAAAAUUGACUGGACAUCCUUUCUUCAUCAUUUGUGCAACACUCAAUAAAUUUUGAUUUAAAUCUGGAAUUAAUAACACAUUAGAAAUAAAUUUAGUACGUUGAGUGGUUUGGAUUGCCACAGUACCUUUGCCUUCAGCCUACACCAAUUUAUAAUUUCCCAACUUGAUUGUUGUCUUGAAGGACCUAUCCAAGGAUGUAAACAACUCAACAUCCCUUGCCAUGUGAUUAGUGCAGCCACUAUCCACAUUCCUUGUCUGUUUUGAGGCCCUUUGACAUGACUGAGAUACCAUGAACAAGUGUUCUUCAGAUUUUGGUUGCUCAUCUAUAAAAUUGGCUUAUUUUGUAGGCUGAUUCUGAGUUUGAUUUUGCUGCAUUCUACAAAACCUUUU